GUCCACGCCGUAAACGAUGAGUGCUAAGUGUUGGAGGGUUUCCGCCCUUCAGUGCUGCAGCUAACGCAUUAAGCACUCCGCCUGGGGAGUACGGUCGCAAGACUGAAACUCAAAGGAAUUGACGGGGGCCCGCACAAGCGGUGGAGCAUGUGGUUUAAUUCGAAGCAACGCGAAGAACCUUACCAGGUCUUGACAUCUUCUGACAAUUCCAGAGAUGGAACGUUCCCUUCGGGGACAGAAUGACAGGUGGUGCAUGGUUGUCGU
rnacentral:rRNA from 1 species